rnacentral:rRNA from 1 species
UACGGAGGGAGCUAGCGUUGUUCGGAAUUACUGGGCGUAAAGCGCACGUAGGCGGCUUUGUAAGUUAGAGGUGAAAGCCCGGAGCUCAACUCCGGAAUUGCCUUUAAGACUGCAUCGCUUGAAUCCAGGAGAGGUGAGUGGAAUUCCGAGUGUAGAGGUGAAAUUCGUAGAUAUUCGGAAGAACACCAGUGGCGAAGGCGGCUCACUGGACUGGUAUUGACGCUGAGGUGCGAAAGCGUAGGGAGCAAACAGG